rnacentral:lncRNA from 1 species
GCGGGGCCCCUCCCCCACCGGGGACACCCCUGACCCCCCCGGGGGGCGGUGCGAGAAUACCACUUGGGUCGCUCGAGGAGGAAGAGUGUCCCAGGGGGGAAGCAGUACAGCAUGGAGGGUGCCCCUGCUGCGCCCUUCCGGCCCUCGCAAGGCUUCCUGAGCCGACGGCUAAAAAGCUCCAUCAAACGAACGAAGUCACAACCCAAACUUGACCGGACCAGCAGCUUUCGCCAGAUCCUGCCUCGCUUCCGAAGUGCUGACCAUGACCGG